CCUACGGGGGGCAGCAGUGGGGAAUAUUGGACAAUGGGGGCAACCCUGAUCCAGCCAUGCCGCGUGUGUGAAGAAGGCCCUCGGGUUGUAAAGCACUUUCAGUGAGGAAGAACGCCUGGUGGUUAAUACCCAUCAGGAAAGACAUCACUCACAGAAGAAGCACCGGCUAACUCCGUGCCAGCAGCCGCGGUAAUACGGAGGGUGCGAGCGUUAAUCGGAAUUACUGGGCGUAAAGCGCGCGUAGGUGGCUUGACAAGCCGGUUGUGAAAGCCCCGGGCUCAACCUGGGAACGGCAUCCGGAACUGUCAAGCUAGAGUGCAGGAGAGGAAGGUAGAAUUCCCGGUGUAGCGGUGAAAUGCGUAGAGAUCGGGAGGAAUACCAGUGGCGAAGGCGGCCUUCUGGACUGACACUGACACUGAGGUGCGAAAGCGUGGGUAGCAAACAGGAUUAGAUACCCGGGUAGUC
rnacentral:rRNA from 1 species